AGUCGAGCGAGUCUGCCUUGAAGAUCGGAGUGCUUGCACUCUGUGAAACAAGAUACAGGCUAGCGGCGGACGGGUGAGUAACACGUGGGUAACCUGCCCAAGAGAUCGGGAUAACACCUGGAAACAGAUGCUAAUACCGGAUAACAACAGAUGAUGCCUAUCAACUGUUUAAAAGAUGGUUCUGCUAUCACUCUUGGAUGGACCUGCGGUGCAUUAGCUAGUUGGUAGGGUAACGGCCUACCAAGGCGAUGAUGCAUAGCCGAGUUGAGAGACUGAUCGGCCACAUUGGGACUGAGACACGGCCCAAACUCCUACGGGAGGCAGCAGUAGGGAAUCUUCCACAAUGGACGCAAGUCUGAUGGAGCAACGCCGCGUGAGUGAAGAAGGGUUUCGGCUCGUAAAGCUCUGUUGUUGGUGAAGAAGGACAGGGGUAGUAACUGACCUUUGUUUGACGGUAAUCAAUUAGAAAGUCACGGCUAACUACGUGCCAGCAGCCGCGGUAAUACGUAGGUGGCAAGCGUUGUCCGGAUUUAUUGGGCGUAAAGCGAGUGCAGGCGGCUCGAUAAGUCUGAUGUGAAAACCUUCGGCUCAACCGGAGAAUUGCAUCAGAAACUGUCGAGCUUGAGUNNNNAAGAGGAGAGUGGAACUCCAUGUGUAGCGGUG
rnacentral:rRNA from 1 species